rnacentral:rRNA from 1 species
GACGAACGCUGGCGGCGUGCUUAACACAUGCAAGUCGAACGAAGAGCGACGGAAGCUUGCUUCUAUCAAUCUUAGUGGCGAACGGGUGAGUAACGCGUAAUCAACCUGCCCUUCAGAGGGGGACAACAGUUGGAAACGACUGCUAAUACCGCAUACGAUCUAACCUCGGCAUCGAGGAUAGAUGAAAGGUGGCCUCUACAUGUAAGCUAUCACUGAAGGAGGGGAUUGCGUCUGAUUAGCUAGUUGGAGGGGUAACGGCCCACCAAGGCGAUGAUCAGUAGCCGGUCUGAGAGGAUGAACGGCCACAUUGGGACUGAGACACGGCCCAGACUCCUACGGGAGGCAGCAGUGGGGAAUCUUCCGCAAUGGACGAAAGUCUGACGGAGCAACGCCGCGUGAGUGAUGACGGCCUUCGGGUUGUAAAGCUCUGUUAAUCGGGGCGAAAGGCCUUCUUGCGAAUAGUGAGAAGGAUUGACGGUACCGGAAGAGAAAGCCACGGCUAACUACGUG